GUGUUUGCUUCAACAGCACAUAUACUAAAACUGGAACGAUACAGAGAAGAUUAUCAUGGCCCUUUGUGCAAGGAUGACAUGCAAAUUUAUGAAGUGUUCCAUAUUUUU